UACAGAGGGUGCAAGCGUUAAUCGGAAUUACUGGGCGUAAAGCGCGCGUAGGUGGUUUGUUAAGUUGGAUGUGAAAGCCCCGGGCUCAACCUGGGAACUGCAUUCAAAACUGACAAGCUAGAGUAUGGUAGAGGGUGGUGGAAUUUCCUGUGUAGCGGUGAAAUACGUAGAUAUAGGAAGGAACACCAGUGGCGAAGGCGACCACCUGGACUGAUACUGACACUGAGGUGCGAAAGCGUGGGGAGCAAACAGG
rnacentral:rRNA from 1 species